rnacentral:rRNA from 1 species
UACGGAGGGAGCUAGCGUUGUUCGGAAAUACUGGGCGUAAAGCGCACGUAGGCGGCGCAGCAAGUCAGGGGUGAAAUCCCGGGGCUCAACCCCGGAACUGCCCUUGAAACUGCAGUGCUAGAAUCUUGGAGAGGCGAGUGGAAUUCCGAGUGUAGAGGUGAAAUUCGUAGAUAUUCGGAAGAACACCAGUGGCGAAGGCGACUCGCUGGACAAGUAUUGACGCUGAGGUGCGAAAGCGUGGGGAGCAAAC